rnacentral:rRNA from 1 species
GACGAACGCUGGCGGCGUGCUUAACACAUGCAAGUCGAACGAACUGGCGAACGGGUGAGUAACGCGUAAUCACCCUGCCCUUCAGAGGGGGACAACAGUUGGAAACGACUGCUAAUACCACAUACAGAAGGAGGGGAGUGCGUUGGAUUAGCUGGUUGGAGGGGUAACGGCCCACCAAGGCGAUGAUCAGUAGCCGGACUGGGAGGAUGGCUGGCCGCAUUGGGAGUGGGACCCGGCCCAGACUCCCACGGGAGGCAGCAGUGGGGAAUCUUCCGCAAUGGGCGAAAGUCUGACGAAGCAAGGGCGCGUGAGUGAUGACGGCCUUCGGGUGGGAAAGCUCUGUUAAUCGGGACGCGGUACCGGAAGAGGAAGCCACGGCUAACUACGUGCCAGCAGCCGCGGUAAUUC